rnacentral:rRNA from 1 species
ACAAGCGUGGAUGAUGUGGAUUAAUUCGAUGCAACGCGAAGAACCUUACUACCCUUGACAUGUCCGGAACUUGCCAGAGAUGGCUUGGUGCCCGAAAGGGAAUCGGAACACAGGUGCUGCAUGGCUGUCGUCAGCUCGUGUCGUGAGAUGUUGGGUUAAGUCCCGCAACGAGCGCAACCCUUAUCAUUAGUUGCUACGCAAGGGCACUCUAAUGAGACUGCCGGUGACAAACCGGAGGAAGGUGGGGAUGACGUCAAGUCCUCAUGGCCCUUAUGGGUAGGGCUUCACACGUCAUACAAUGGAUGGUACAAAGGGUCGCCAACCCGCGAGGGGGAGCCAAUCCCAUAAAGCCAUUCGUAGUCCGGAUCGCAGUCUGCAACUCGACUGCGUGAAGUCGGAAUCGCUAGUAAUCGUGGAUCAGAAUGUCACGGUGAAUACGUUCCCGGGUCUU